rnacentral:lncRNA from 1 species
GAAGGAUUUUCAGACUAGUGAGACCUAAGUACACUUUUUCCCCCUGAAGCUUUUGGUUUGACUUUGUUUGGUUUUGCCCAGGAAGGACACAGUGGAGGGAACAAAUAAUGAGCGUGGUCUGGAUAACAGUUUGAAGAGAGAGACCAUUGAUUACAAUACAGUAUGUAUUGAUUGACUGGUUGAUAUCUGCAUGGCAGGGUUGGGGGAGUUCGGUAGGAAGGGCACGAUGGGAAUCUACAGAUGGAAGCCGUGGUCACAAUGAAUAACAGUGAGACUGUUCCCUAAAGUCACAGAGCAAAAUCAUCCAAGGCUCUGUGCCACCGUCUCAGCCCUGACGCCCCAGGGGUGAGAAACUCCGAGUUGCUUAAGGGAGGCAUUUACUUUCCCUUCCUCCUCCAGGAUAGAACUGCACUUCAUCAACUUAGCGGAAAGCAGCUGACAGUGGACUUCACACCUAACUCUAAUAAGGAAUUGCUGUGAAAAGUGACCCAGCGAGGAUAACUGCCCUGCGCGGUUCGAUGAGGUCACGGCAGGCAGGAGGGUAAGGACUCCAAGAACCGCAGCAGCAGCAUCGGGGGCCCAGGACCCGGACCCGGACCGGGAUGCGCCCCGGAAGCCAGCGGCUCCUGGCGGUAGCGAGGAGUGGUUAAGUGCAGCUGAGUUGUUCCUUGGGAGAUAUAUUCCACAAC